rnacentral:rRNA from 1 species
CCUACGGGGAGCAGCAGUGGGGAAUAUUGGGCAAUGGGCGCAAGCCUGACCCAGCAACGCCGCGUGAAGGAAGAAGGCCCUCGGGUUGUAAACUUCUUUUAACAGGGACGAAGAAAGUGACUGUACCUGUUGGAUAAGCCACGUCUAACUAAGUGCGAGCAGCCGCGGUAGUACGUAGGUGGCGAGCGUGCGCCGGAUAUAAUGGUUGGAAAGGGCGUGUAGGCGGGAGAGCAAGUCAGACGUGAAAUUCCAGGGCUCAACCCUGGAAGUGCGUAUGAAACUGUUAUUCUAGAGUGAUGGAGAGGCAGGCGGAAUUCCGUGUGUAGCGGUGAAAUGCGUAGAUAUACGGAGGAACACCAGUGGCGAAGGCGGCUUGCUGGA